GUGAAGAACGUAGCAAAAUGCGAUAAGUAAUGUGAAUUGCAGAAUUCAGUGAAUCAUCGAAUCUUUGAACGCACAUUGCGCCCGCCAGUAUUCUGGCGGGCAUGCCUGUUCGAGCGUCAUUUCAACCCUCAAGCCCUCGGGUUUGGUGUUGGGGAUCGGCGAGCCUUUCUGGCAAGCCGGCCCCGAAAUCUAGUGGCGGUCUCGCUGCAGCCUCCAUUGCGUAGUAGUAAAACCCUCGCAACUGGAACGCGGCGCGGCCAAGCCGUUAAACCCCCAACUUCUGAAUGUUGACCUCGGAUCAGGUAGGAAUACCCGCUGAACUUAAGCAUAUCAAUAAGCGGAGGA
rnacentral:misc_RNA from 1 species